ensembl:snoRNA
CUUGCACCCAAAACCAAAGCUCACAUCGUGUCAGUGGUGUGAUCUUGUCUGGCGUGCAGACAGAAUCGGAUCCUUGUCGCCUUUCUCUGACGCUGCGGUGCCUUUGAAAGUGAAUCCAAGGGUCGACAAGC